GGCUGCAACUCGCCUACACGAAGCUGGAAUCGCUAGUAAUCGCGGAUCAGCACGCCGCGGUGAAUACGUUCCCGGGCCUUGUACACACCGCCCGUCACACCAUGAGAGUCUGUAACACCCAAAGCCGGUGGGAUAACCUUUAUAGGAGUCAGCCGUCUAAGGUAGGACAGAUGAUUAGGGUGAAGUCGUAACAAGGUAUC
rnacentral:rRNA from 1 species